GUCUUUUUGAGUUAUUUUUAAAGUCUGACCUGCCCACUGAAUAUUUUUAAAUGGCCGCAGUAUUCUAACUGUGCAAAGGUAGCAUAAUCAUUAGUCUUUUAAUUGAAGGCUGGUAUGAACGGUUGGACGAAGUAUAAGCUGUUUCAUAUAAAAUUAUAUUAGAAUUUUAUAUUUUAGUUAAAAAGCUAAAAUAUUAUUAAAAGACGAGAAGACCCUAUAAAUCUUUAUAUUUAAUAUUAUUCAAAUUUUUUUGAUUAAUUUUAUUUUUAUAAUAUUAAAUAUUUUGUUGGGGUGAUAUUAAAAUUUAAUAAACUUUUAAUUUUGAAUUAGAACAUUAAUUUAUGAAUAGUUGAUCCAUUAUUAAUGAUUAUAAGAUUAAGUUACUUUAGGGAUAACAGCGUAAUUUUUUUUGAGAGUUCAUAUCGACAAAAAAGUUUGCGACCUCGAUGUUGGAUUAAGAUAUAUAUUUAGGUGUAGCUGUUUAAAUAUUAAGUCUGUUCGACUUUUAAAUUCUUACAUGAUCUGAGUUCAAACC
rnacentral:rRNA from 1 species